AUAUAUAUAUAUAUAUAUAUAUACACACACACACAAGCGGGGGACACUUUGGACCAACUUUCUGUUGAAGUGGUGGGAUUGGUCACAUUUUCUGUGAGAGCAUUGGUGGAAUGGUCAAAGUUUCUGUGGGAGUGGCUGGGAUUGGACAACUUUAUUGUGGGAAUGGACAAGAUUGGUGAAGAGUGUCUGUGGAAGUGGGCAGGAUUGGUAAAACUUUUAGUGGGAGCAGGCAUGAUUGAUCAAGAGUGUCUACAGGGGCAAGCCAGAUUGGUCAAGUGUUCUGCAGGAACUAGUGGGAUUAGUCAGGAUUGUCUGUAGAAGCAAGGAGAAUUGGUCAAACUUUCUGCAGGAGUGGGCAAGAUGUGUCAAGAAUGUCUAUGGGAGUGGGUGGAAUUGGUCAAACUUUCUGCUGAAGCAAUUGGGAUUGGUCAAAUUUUCAGUGGAAGCAGGCGGGAUUGGUCAAAUUUUCAGUGGAAGCAGGCGGGAUUGGUCAAACUUUCUGCGGAAGCAGGCGGGAUUGGUCAAAUCUUCAGUGGAAGCAGGCGAGAUUGGUCAAAUUUUCAGUGGAAGCAGGCGAGAUUGGUCAAAUUUUCAGUGGAAGCAGGCGGGAUUGGACAAAUUUUCAGUGUAAACAGGUGGGAUUGGUCAAACUUUCUGCGGAAGCAGGCGGGAUUGUCAAAUUUACUGCACAAGCAGCUGGUAAAGAAUGCUUCUGGGAACAGGCAGGAUUGGCCAAAUUUCUACAAGACCAGGCAAUAGUGGGAUUAAUAAAACAGUUUGGCGCACCUGUACUGUAAAUUACUUUAUAUAGCACAUUUUUCAUUUUUAAUCAAACAGCCUUUUUUGAUUAUAGUAAUAAUCUCCUGGCUUUUUGUUGUUAACACAAAACUGAGUAUUAAUUUGUAUAGAACUGAGUCUGGUUAUGUCCAAAAUCGAAUACUAAAUAGGUAACAUACUAAACCUACUGUCUCAACAUACUAAUGUUGUUUGGAACGGAGCCCGAGACUGCCUAAUAGUCCAUUGAAAGCUUUUUUAUUUGUUCUCAUAUUUUGCCUGGUUUUGGAGCUUGUAAAAGGUUCAUGAAGUAUAUAUGAGGUCACUUAUAAAUGGAGUUUAGACACUUAUAGGCACUGCUUGCCAAUAAGAGCGUUAUUGACCAGAAUGAAAACUGCCACAUGGGUAUGUAUUCGUGUGUAUGACAGCCAGUUAAUAAAUCUUUGUACUAUAUAAGCCUUGUGUGCUGUGUUUCAUAAAAAAGGAGCGGUUUAAGUGAAUCACUGUGUCUUACAAGCUGGAGGAGGAAUGCGUUUCCUGUUUACGCCUGUGAAAGUCCAUAUGUUUCACUCAUCGGCUUGCCCACACAAAACAGACUAGCACACAGCCUGCUGUCGCGGGCUACUAAACAGUAGGUGUACGUGUGGCCAUAGGUGGCAUAUUUUCAAAACUAUUUAGUACAGUAGUGUGCACAUUUCUAUGGAGUCCUACUCUCAGGCUCUGUCUUAUAGCCUACCAAGGCAGUGAGAGGUCUACAUAUAGCACAUACCUUGUCAGAAAUAAAGGUGGAGAAGUUUGUACCUUUAUCUCCAAUGAUUUCUGGGUGAGAAAAAAGGAAAAUGUACUUCUGUUUUAUAAGUUCUAAAAAAAAAAGAUUAAAUAAAAAAUAAUGUUAAAAUUAAAAAAAAUUAAAUAUGGGUGUUUCCUGAAAGAAGACAACAAUCCAAAAGAUAUGUCAAGAUUAGGAGACAAAAAGGUUAGUCAAAGUUGAGUGACCCUCUCUGUUUCCAGACUCGAUCUGAAGAAAGCACUGGAAGAAAUUUGGCAGAGGUACGACAUGUAAGGAAUAAAACACUUAUUUAUAACCAUGCCUCAUUUUUUUCCCCUCUUAAAGUUAAUAAGACAACGUUUCUGAAAAAGUCCUCUGUGCUAUCCAAGUUGGAAUAUUAAAAAAAAAAAAAAAAAAAAAAAGUUAUAGCUUUACCUCUGUUGGAUAAAUACCGAAGAUUCCUUCGACAAAUGCUAAAUCAAUGUCUCCUAACUGAAAACUUUAAGCUUAUCAGUGAUUAAAAUCUAUUAUUAUGGAAAAUAUGACAUAUUAAAACAAGUGCAUGAAUAUACACCUUGCAGCUGGUCUGACUGUCAGAGCUGCUGUUACUGAAAAUGAAUCACCCUCUGACCAAUCAGAAUCAAGCAUUCAACAGUGCUGAGUAAAGAUUGGUCAAGCAUUCUGGGGAUUGGGUUGGGGAUGAAUUUAAAGGGACUGCAGCAGACAUUCUAGCAUACAUAAGAGUUGUCUAGAACCUAAAUGAUCUGAGGUGAACAUCCCAGUGCAUUAACCUGUGAGGGGGCCAAAAAUUUGUACUGGCUCCCCUGUUUGAGGCUACCACCGUUAUGACAGUGUUGUAGCCUGAGCAUGGCUUAUAAAAAAACAAAACGGUAGCCCUUCUUUUGUGCCAGGUUAUAUUAACACUGUUGUUGGACCUAUAAUUCAUGCAUUUCCAUGUGUACGCUAAAAUGACUUGAAGAAUACAUGGAGUCAGGUACUGUGAUUAAACUGAGCAGGGGUGUUUCAAGUGACCUCAAAUUACAUCUCUCGGAGGUCUAUUACCCCAUGCAGUUUUAAUGAAUAAUAUUUACAUAGCUUGUUAUUGUGGAACUGCAUGAACUAUAUUUUAACUACAUUUCUAUUAAAUAAAUCCAGUUCUGUAAGGUCAUUAUGUUUAUGCCCUUCUUCAACAGCCUUUUAGCUUGUUCUUGCCCACUUUUGCCACCCCUUAGUGUGUUCUUGUCCCUUAUUGGCACCCUUUAGUGUGUUCUUGUCCCUUUUUGCCACCCCUUAGUGUGCUCUUGCCUCCCUUCCCCACCCCUUAGUGUGCUCUUGCCCCUUUUUGCCAUGCCUUAGUGUGUUCUUGCCCCUCUUCCCCACCCCUUAGUGUGCUCUUGCCCCUCGUCCCCAUCCCUUCGUGUACUCUUGCCCCUUUUUGCCACCCCUUAGUGUGUUCUUCUCCCUUUUUGCCACCCUUUAUUGUGUUCUUGCCCAUUUUUUCCACCUCUUUGUGUGUUCUUGCCCCUCUUCCCCACUCUUAGUGUGCUCUUGCCCCUUUUUGCCACACCUUAGUGUGCUCUUGCCCCUUUUUUGCCACGCCUUAGUGUGUUCUUGCCCCUCUUCCCCACCCCUUAGUGUGCUUUUGCCCCUCUUCCCCACCCCUUAAUGUGUUCUUGUUUCUCUUUGCCACCCUAAGUCUAAAAAC
ensembl:lncRNA